AAAAUCUCACAAAUAUCAGAGUUAGUACUGAGCGAAAUACUGUAACUUAGUGUGUAACAAGAACAGUAAUAAAAGCAUCAAAAACAAGAACAGUAAUAAAAACGAACACCAGAAGUGGUAACUUGGUUCGGUGAUAGAACACCUACGUCUGGGGGACCUCGCCCAGAGAAAACGUUCCACUAUGAGAAGAUAAGUACAACAACACAUACAAAAAGAUUCGACCUUUCUACGCCUCUAUAACUUCCCAAACCUUACGCUAAAAAAAAAAAAAACACUUCUCAAACCUUCAGCAACAGUGAAAUAUUGAAAGUUAGAUAGAACUAACCUUCUAGAUGUGAACGCCGACAAACACACCUAAUCAAACAACACAAUACUUUAAAGCACCAAGUAAAUAACCAACAAACGUACCUUGCUCAAACCAAC
rnacentral:lncRNA from 1 species